CCUUCGAUAGCUCAGUUGGUAGAGCGGAGGACUGUAGGUACUGGUUGUGGUCAUCCUUAGGUCGCUGGUUCGAAUCCGGCUCGAAGGA
rnacentral:tRNA from 1 species